AUGCAUCCAAAUUUUAGUUAAAAUUUAAAAUCUUAUUUUGGUUUCAAGCUCGUGUUUAGAUGAUAGAGAAUUUCAUAUGGAAACCAGCAAAACUGGUUUCAUAAUUUUUGGAGUUAAAAUAUAUAUAUAUUCUAUAAUCAUGCAUGUAUAUGGGGCUUCUACUGUGCACAUGGCGGAUUGUUUGAGUGAUGAUCGGACUGUCACGAUGAGCAUAGUUUAGGAGAACAUGUGUUUUGUCAUACUAUUACGCAGAGCACUGAACUGGAGA
rnacentral:lncRNA from 1 species